CACUCUCGGGUCAGAGCUCCGGCGCAUCUACAACUCCCCGGUGUUCAUGGCGGAGCGUCUGAAGAGGCCCCUGGACGGACAGUCUGUGCGGAUCGGGCCCCUCAGCCACUCUGGGAGUCAGAGUGACGCUGGCGGAUGGCUCCCAGUGGCUCGUCCAUAAGGGAGGAAACUACGGCGUCUCCUCCAACACCGUGGUGGUCGCCGCCCGGCACAUGAGCCCCGCCUGGCAGGUCGUUCGGACGCUGGAUUUCCGGGGGACGAAGAAAGUCGCUGACUUCGUGGCGGGUCGGCGGCACCGACUACAGCCUCUUCUUCGAUAACUGUCACCUGGCAUCUCGGAGGAUGAUGGGACAGUAAUAAAGAGAUCCAUAAUUUGUCA